GGGGUGGGGGGAUACGGGGUCCUAAAUGAGCCCUAUGGGGUACGGGGUCCUAAAUGAGCCCAAUGGGGUAUGGGGUCCUAAAUGAGCCCAAUGGGAUACAGGGUCCUAAAUGAACCCAAUGGGAUAUGGGGGGACGGGGUCCUAAAUGAGCCCUAUGGGGUAUGGGGUCCUAAAUGACCCCAAUUGGAGAUGGGGUCCUAAAUGAGCCCAAUGGGAUACGGGGGGAUGGGGUCCUAAAUGAGCCCAAUGGGAUAUGGGGGGAGAUGGGGUCCUAAAUGAGCCCUAUGGGGUCCUAAAUGAACCCAAUGGGAUAUGGGGGGACGGGGUCCUAAAUGAACCCAAUGGGAUACGGGGGGAUGGGGUCCUAAAUGAGCCCAGUGGGAUACGGGGGGAGAUGGGGUCCUAAAUGACCCCAAUGGGAGAUGGGGUCCUAAAUGACCCCAAUGGGAUACGGGGGGGACUAAUCCCAAAUGUCCCCAUGGGGCACAGCUUGGCUCAGAUCCCAAAUGUCUGUAUGGGGUCACAGAUGGGAUCAGAUCCAAAAUGUCUCUAUGGGGUCACAGAUGGGAUCGGAUCCCCGUUGGUGAUCCCAAUGAUUGCUGUCGUUUCAGAGCUGAGCUGCUGCCGGGACGAGCGGGACGUGGAGGAGCUGCUGCUCGAGGCCAGCCAGGAUGCGGGGCAGGAGCCGCCGUGACAGCGCGGGUGGAUGGGGCCGGAUUUGGGGUCGGGGCUCAGAUUUGGGGUCAGGGCUCACAUUUGGGGUCAGGAUCCGGAUUUGGGGUCAGGGCUCACAUUUGGGGUCAGGAUCCGGAUUUGGGGUCAGGGCUCACAUUUGGGGUCAGGGCUCAAAUUAGGUUCAGGAUCCGGAUUUGGGGUCGGGGCUCAAAUUAGGUUCAGGAUCCAGAUUUGGGGUCGGGGCUCAGAUUUGGGGUCAGGAUCCGGAUUUGGGGUCAGGGCUCACAUUUGGGGUCAGGGUUUCGAUUUUGGAUCAGGAUCUGGAUUUGGGGUCAGGAUCCGGAUUUGGGGUCAGCAUUUCAAUUUAGGAUCAGGAUUGGGAUUUGGGGUCAGGAUCCAGACUGAGGUCAGCAUUUCAAUUUGGGAUUAGGAUCCAGAUUGGGCCCAGGAUCCGGAUUUGGGGUCAGGGUUUCGAUUUUGGAUCAGGAUCGGGAUUUGGGGUCAGGGUUCAGAUUUGGGGUCAGGGUUUCGGUUUUGGAUCAGGAUCGGGAUUUGGGGUCAGGAUCCGGACUUGGGGUCAGGGUUCAGAUUUGGGGUCAGGGUUUCAAUUUGGGAUCAGGAUCCGGAUUUGAAGUUGGGAGUCUCGAUUUUGGAUCAGGGUUCGGAUUUGGGGUCAGGUCCGGAUUUGGGGUCAGGGUUUCAGUUUUGGAUCAGGAUCUGAAUUUAGGGUCAGGGUUCGGAUUUGGGGUCAGGAUCCGGAUUGGGGUCCGGGUCCGGAUUGAUCCGGAUUGAUUGGGGUCCGGAUUUGGGCUCAGGUUUCAGCUCUGGGAUCUGCUGUGGGGUCGGGGCCCCAACCCAGCACCAGGGGCCCCAAUGGGGUGUCCCCAGUAGGGUGUCCCAAUAGGGUGUCCCCAAUGGAGUGUCCUCAAUGGGGUGUCUUCAAUAGGGUGUCCCCAAUGGGGUGUCCCCAAUAGGGUGUCCUCAAUGGGGUGUCCCCAAUAGGGUGUGCCCAAUGGUGUGUCCCCAAUGGGAUGUCCCCAGUAGGGUGUCCCCAGUGGGGUGUCCCCAAUGGGGUGUCCCCAUGGGGUGUCACCACUGAGACCUCACCACGGCCCCAUGGAGGUGUCACCGUGUCCCCAAGGUGACCCUGACCCCACCCCCAUCAGUGACCCCAAAAGGGGACGCCGACCCCAAAGCUCACAUCCCCGAAAGGUUGGGGUGACGCCGACCCCAAAAGGUGAUGCUGACCCCAUAGGUUGGGCUGACCCCGACCCCACUGUCACUCACCCGACCCCAAAGGCUGCCGUCGCCCCAAUGUUGGGGGCUGACCCCAAAAGGUGACGCCGUGCCGCCCCUCUCAGGCUGUUCUCAGGGGCCGCGGUGUUGGGGGGGGG
ensembl:lncRNA